rnacentral:rRNA from 1 species
AUUGAACGCUGGCGGCAUGCCUUACACAUGCAAGUCGAACGGUAACAGGUCUUCGGAUGCUGACGAGUGGCGAACGGGUGAGUAAUACAUCGGAACGUGCCUAGUAGUGGGGGAUAACUACCCGAAAGAGUGGCUAAUACCGCAUGAGAUCUACGGAUGAAAGCAGGGGAUCGCAAGACCUUGUGCUACUAGAGCGGCCGAUGGCCGAUUAGGUUGUUGGUGGGAUAAAAGAUUACCAAGCCGACGAUCUGUAGCUGGUCUGAGAGGACGAUCAGCCACACUGGGACUGAGACUCGGCCCAGACUCCUACGGGAGGCAGCAGUGGGGAAUUUUGGACAAUGGGCGCAAGCCUGAUCCAGCAAUGCCGCGUGCAGGAUGAAGGCCUUCGGGUUGUAAACUGCUUUUGUACGGAACGAAAAGCCCCGGGUUAAUACCCUGGGGUCAUGACGGUACCGUAAGAAUAAGCACCGGCUAACUACGUGCCAGCAGCCGCCGUAA